rnacentral:lncRNA from 1 species
CUAGCCCGAGCCGCCCCGUCCGCCCGCGCGUCCCGCCCCGCGGGCUCCCGGUGGCUGCUUCCCGUCCGCUGUCCUCUGCUGCCAGUCCCCUGCCCCGGGCAAAGCCCAUCUGGUCCGCCGAGCAGGCCGGAGCUAUUGGGAGUGGCGGAUCCUCCCACCCCAGCCGGAUCUGGGCCAUGGCCGAGCCUGGAGAGGGACUGCCAGAGGAGGUGCUGGCACUCAUCUUCCGCCACCUGUCCCUGAGAGACCGUGCUGCCGCCGCCAGGGUCUGCAGGGCCUGGGCCGCCGCUGCUACCUGCAGCGCCGUGUGGCACGACACAAAAAUCAGGUGAGCCUGCUCCUCCACACUCCUCUCCCCACCGCCCACUCACCUUCUCCGUGGAGUCGUGGGCUAGGUAGAUAUUCAGGUUGACUCCCCCAUAUUAAAAAAUAAUUGCUGGCCGGGCGUGGUGGCUCAUGCCUGUAAUCCCAGCACUUUGGCAGGCCGAGGCGGGUGGAUCACCUGAGGUCAGGAGUUUGAGACCAGCCUGGCCACCAUGCUGAAACCCCGUCUCUACUAAAAUACAAAAACUAGCCGGGCAUGGUGGUGGGCGCCUAUAAUUCUAGCUACUCGGGAGGCUGAGGCACAAGAAUCGCUUGAACCCGGGAGGCAAAGGUUGCAGUGAGCCGAGAUGGCACCACUGCACUCCAGCUUGGCGACAGAGUAACAGUUUAUCUCAAAAUAAUAAUAAUAAUUGCUGACGUAUUGACUGCCUAGUAUAUACCAACCAUUGUUUUUAAGUGCCUUACAUAUAUUAACUAAUUUAAUCCUUAUGAAAACCUUGUGUGGUAGAUAGGUAUUAUCAUUACCUCCAUUGCCCAGAUAGGAAACUGAGGCAAAGAGACUUAAUCACUUCCCACGGGUCACUCAGCUAGGGAAUGGCAGAGGCAGAAUUCGAACCUAGCAGUCCGGAGGCCAUGCCAAGACUCCUUAGAGACAGCUGAGAAAGCCCAGUUCCUAAAAUAUCAUUGGCUCUCCAUGUCCAGGUUUCAUCCUGUGGCAGACGCCACUGAA